rnacentral:rRNA from 1 species
UACGAAGGGUGCAAGCGUUACUCGGAAUUACUGGGCGUAAAGGGUGCGUAGGUGGUUGUUUAAGUCUGUUGUGAAAGCCCCGGGCUCAACCUGGGAAUGGCAAUGGAUACUGGACAGCUAGAGUGCGGUAGAGGGUAGUGGAAUUCCCGGUGUAGCAGUGAAAUGCGUAGAGAUCGGGAGGAACACCAGUGGCGAAGGCGGCGAUCUGGGAAGAUACUGACGCUGAGGUGCGAAAGCGUGGGGAGCAAACAGG